AAAUAUUUUUUCCUAUUUAAUACCUUUGAAUUCCAUAUUCUGAGUUGCUAUGGAAUCCAUUCCAUAGGUUUUUCAUGUAUUCAUAGAUAUGGUCUUUUGGACGUUAAUUACCUUUCUUCUUCUUUCUCUUAUCAUCAUCACCACCGCCAACCCUCUCCCCCCAUCUAUCGGCGGCGACCACCAAACUUCUCCCUCAAUCCUCCGACGUUCUCCCCCCUUAUGAUCCACACACCUCAUCACACUUCGCACCCUUUCAACACCAACCGCUGCCUCUCCCUGUCCAUCGAAUCUCCUUCGGAGCCUGUCUCUCCCUAUAUUACAGAUAUGGAGAAUGCGUCGGAACAAUCCAUGGCGACCUAUCACGAUGGUAACAGCGAGGAAACCUCAACGAGUCGGUAACAACGAGGGAACCUAAUACUGACACAGAGAAGCAAAAAGGGCUUUCUCACUUCUCUUCUCAGAUAACAUCAUUUUCUAUUGCCACGAAUCAAAUUGCGAGGUGAUAACUGUCUGAUACUCGCAUGAAAGCAUUGAUUGAAGCUUAGGGUCGGAUACUUUGAUGUGGCAGCGACAACAUGAUGAAGCUGAAGCGAACGAGGAGUGAUAGUUUACUGGAUUUCUUUGAACGCAAAAUCUGAUGGAUCGAAGACGCGGCAGAACGGUGAUUGUUCCAUGUAAAAGCACAACCGUCUUUGUGGGUUACGAAUAUAGUGUUCAUUGAGUUCUCAAAGGAUUUACAUCCCUCCUAAAGCAACAGGGUAUCCUAGAUUUUGAAUCCAUUUUUGGAUUGUUGACAACUUGCUCGCGAUGGUGGGGCAGAGCUCACAGUGGCUGGUGAUUCUGCUAGACUAUGUGCAUCCACAAAUGGGGUCAUCGCUGGAGGCACUGACAUGUGCAGAUAUCAAGAGGAAUCAAAUCGACAGUUCAAAAGCGAAAAAGAAGAGGGUGAGUUAUCUCCAAACGGAGACUUUGAAGAGGAUAAUUUGUGGUUUAUAUUUGUCAAGUGAAGUUUUUUUUUACUAGCCGCAUGGGUAGACGAUCUAGUCUAUAAUAAUAUUGAGUGCUCAUAGCACAUCAUCACUAAAGAGUUAGACAAACCCUUAUUGUAAAACCAGUUCCCUGCUAUUGUGCAAGGUGUAAUUAAAUAUAACUACAUGUAUAAGUGUCGUUACGUGGUUGGAAGUAACAUAUUGUCAAAUCAUAAGUGUCGAGUUACUCAAUUUGGCUCAAAUUAUAUUACCAUUGGUUUGAUAUUACUAA